GCCUCAUGCCAAACAACUCAUUACAAAAGGAGCUAUGGUCCCAGACCACAACGAAGCUUCAUGAGACCUCUCCUCAUCUGUGCACGGACAAGUGUCUGACUCUGGAGCCCAGGCUGUUGCUUUCCAGUCUGGUGGUGAAUCCUUCACAGUCUGCAAGCCUUACAGGAGAAAUCGAAACACAGCUGCUACAUUGUAAGUCCACAAGUGAAAUAAGCAGUGUCCAGUGGAUAACAAGAAGGCUCCCAGAAUAGCUCCUCAAAAAAUCUGCCUUCUUCCUUUACUACCAAGAAUCCUAACCUGUAGGCUCAAAGAUGAUUCAAACAUUGAGGGCAGUGGUACUUGGGAUUCAAAGGCACAUUGGUGCAGAAAGGAGCCCAUAGCAUGCUGUUGACAAUUUGACCAGGUGAAAUCUGUAACUUCACAUGUUGGCUCACCAGAGCAAUAUUAAGAGAGAUAAUCAUCAGCAAUAUCCACACAAAUUGCAUUCCUUAAAGCAAACCAAUUGCUUUGAAGGAUUGAGAUGUUGGAAGCUUUAGAAUGUUGAUUAUGAUGAUACCCAAGACUCAAGUUUAAGAAGGAAAGGAAGCAAUAAGAUCAUGCCUGCUAUUAGUAUAGUCGUCACAGUUAUUGUGUAAAGUUAAGAUCCCAGUUUUAUUGAUGUGGAAACUGAAGCAUAUAGAGGGUAAGUUAUUGUGAUUCUAGAACUCCUGUGUUUAACACCACUCUAUACUGUUUUCCAACAGAAAAUCUAGGUAUCUUGCACCAAGAAGUGGAAAAUAAAGAAGAGAAAUGAGAACCAUGUUUGUAUUGGCUGUCUAUAAAAUAAGAGGUAGGCAUUAACUUUUAUCAUUCACUAUAUUCAAAGAAUAAUACAGUAAAAAUUAUAUUCAGGCUAUAUCUCUUCUGACAGAAUGAAUUCCAGCAGACCCCAGACUUUUUGGCACCAGGGACCAGUUUCGUGGAAGACAAACUGUGUGAGGCAUGGUUUCAGGAUGAAACUGUUCUGUCUCAGAUCAUCAGGCAUUAGUUAGCUUCUCAUAAGGAGCUUGCAGCGUAGAUCCUCGCAUGUGCAAGUUCACAGUAGGGUCCGCGCUCCUGUGAGAAUCUGAUGCAGCCACUGAUCUGACAGGAGGCGGAGCUCAGGCCGUCAUACUGUCCUGCCCGCUGCUUACCUCCUGCUGUGCGGCCUGGUUCCUAACAGGUCAUGGACUAGUACCGUCAGUGGCUCAGGGGUUGGGGACCAUUGAAUUAUAAAUUUGAGAGCUCUCCUGAUAAUUCAGGAAAACAACUUGCUUUUGAGUUACCUAUCAAAAUAAAUUUUAUUCAGAUGAUUGCUUUGAUAUAAAUAAUCUAGUAAGGCUAUUUUGGAGAAGUUAAGUGAAGUUUUCCAACCCACAGCUGUCAUGCUCAGUAAGGUGAGAUGCUCAUAGUAUAAAAGCAUAUCAGGAACAGAAUACAUCCUAGGAAAUAGCAGACUCAACUCCAGCUGGAGCUUACACAGGGUUAUAAAUUCACUGAGAAGAAUGGCCAUGGAACUGCAAGCAGUGUUGAAAUUGUUAUCUAUCUUUUCACUACCAAAUACCCCUCGCCCCACAGGCAGGUAAAACUAAAUUCACAGAAAUUAAAUCCCUCCACUGAUGAAAAAGGCACCAGGCUGUAAAAAGAAGAUUAAUCUAGCAAUCAAAUACCUCGAUGAAUGUGCAGAGUGGCUUGGAAGUGAGCAGUAGUUAAAAACAAAUGUAACAAAAUAUAAGAUGGAAUACUUUACAUCACAGUUUUGGCUGAGGCUCCAAAGACUGAGAAUAAAUCAGUAUCUGCCCAGUCACCACGGUGUGCCAAAGGAGGUGCUGGAUUGCCUCGUCAGGACAUGCUACAUGGAUGGAGAGAAGAUUCCUUGGGGAGAUUUGGUGUGUGCAUAACCAGUCCUUCCAGCACUGGAGAAAGGAGGAGUCCUGCACAGGUUGUACACGAUUCUUUCCACCUGGAAACUUGAAACAUGUGCCCUGGAGUUGAGGAUGCUUGGUUUAAUGAUACUGACCUGCAAUUGAGAAGACCAAAAGGGCGAGACAUACCUUCACGCAAGGCGAGGAUGCAUGAGUUUUCCUGUGAAGCAGGAAAGAGUUUAACAAUUCACGGUUGCACAGUAGCGCUAGCGGCUUUGCGGUUUGGUCCUCAGACCCGGCAGCCGCCACUGGUGAUGAGCUGCUAGGAAGCCCCUGUCGGCAAGCUCGUUGGAGCUUGAAUCCACUGUCACCCCUCUGACUCACUGGC
rnacentral:lncRNA from 1 species